rnacentral:rRNA from 1 species
UACGGGGGGAGCAAGCGUUGUUCGGAUUUACUGGGCGUAAAGGGCGCGUAGGCGGUCAGCACAAGUCAGUUGUGAAAUCUCCGGGCUUAACUCGGAAAGGUCAACUGAUACUGUGCGACUAGAGUGCAGAAGGGGCAACUGGAAUUCUCGGUGUAGCGGUGAAAUGCGCAGAUAUUAGGAAGAACACCGGUGGCGAAGGCGGCUCUCUGGAACGGUACUGACGCUGAGACGCGAAAGCGUGGGGAGCGAACAGG